rnacentral:lncRNA from 1 species
GCAGGCGUGAUCCGCUCCCUACCUGUUUUCAAACGCCAGUCUGUUCCCGCCAGUUUUUUUCUUGUAUUUUGGGUUGGGUUGGUUUGGGUUGGUUUGCGCUAGAAACUGCGGAAUGUUUCUGAUCCUGUGGCUUAGAAGCAGCAACAGACAGAACAGAAGCUGGUAUGAUUGACAGCUAUUUGCAGCUGACUUUGGAUCAGCAGUAGACCAGCAGAGGGCGCACUUCUCUCCAGCGAUGUUCUGGGUCUAGGCCAGAACAUAGCCAGAAAUAGUAAUCUUAAAAUGUAUGGGUUUUCUGAUCACAAAAUAUCAAAUGACAAACUUAUCCAAUAUGUAAAGAAAUGAGUAAGAAAAUUAAAAAACAACACAAAUAUAAC